rnacentral:rRNA from 1 species
ACGUAGGUGGCGAGCGUUAUCCGGAUUCACUGGGCGUAAAGGGCACGCAGGCGGCUCGGCAGGUAGGGCAUGAAAUCUCCCGGCUUAACUGGGAGAGGCUGUCCUAAACCGCUGGGCUUGAGGGCGGGAGAGGGAGGUGGAAUUGCCGGUGUAGUGGUGAAAUGCGUAGAGAUCGGCAGGAACACCAGUGGCGAAGGCGACUUCCUGGUCCGCCCCUGACGCUCAUGUGCGAAAGCUAGGGUAGCGAACGGGA